CAGUUUGGGAAAAGCUGAGAAGUGGAAGAUUACUCAUUCUUUGAGUAAUUACAUCUUGAAAGAUGGCAGACUGUUCUACACUGGCCCAAACAAACUUUACAUACGGCUGGUGGUUAUGUCUGAGGAGGAAAAGAGCGCUGCUCUGAAAGGGUGCCACAACCAGCAAGGCACAGGCAAUCACAAUGGUGUCAGAGGCACCAGAAACCGUUUGGUGGCAGGAUACUACUAGCCCACCAUCAUGGAGGAUGUUACUGACUGGGUCAGGCGCUGUCACCAAUGCCAGUUAAAUGAUCCAAUAAAAACAGUGGCACCAGUGCUACACUCCAUCAAGGUGAAAGAAAAUUGGAGUGUGCUUGGAAUGGAUCUAAUUGGCCCAUUAAAGGAGACUGCACGCAAGAACAAAUACAUUCUGACAAUGACUGAUCCGCUGAACCGCUACAGUCAAAGUCAGCUGUGGAGAUUUCAGCCGCAGUAACUGCCAACUUUUACAUGUUUGGCAUGGUCAGCAAAAUCAUA